GUGCUCGCUUUGGCAGCACAUAUACUAAAAUUGGGAAUGAUACAGAGAAGAUUAGCAUGGCCCCUGUGCAAAGAUGACAUGCAAAUUCAUGAAGCGUUCCAUAUUUUU